AUUGAACGCUGGCGGCAGGCCUAACACAUGCAAGUCGAACGAGUGGCGGACGGGUGAGUAAUGUCUGGGACAGCGCCUGAUGGAGGGGGAUCACUACUGGAAACGGUAGCAUAUACCGCAUACCAGCGGAUGUGCCCAGAUGGGAUUAGCUAGGAGGUGGGGUAAAGGCUCACCUAGGCGACGAUCCCUCGCUGGUCUGAGAGGAUGAACAGCCAAACUGGAACUGAGACACGGCCCAGACUCCUACGGGAGGCAGCAGUGGGGAAUAUGGCACAAUGGGCGCAAGCCUGAUGCAGCCAUGCCGCGUGUAUGAAGAAGGCCUUCGGGUUGUAAAGUACUUUCAGCGGGGAGGCGUUACCCGCAGAAGAAGCACCGGCUAACUCCGUGCCAGCAGCCGCGGUAAUAC
rnacentral:rRNA from 1 species